CCGGAAUAAUCGGCAGUGUUAUUUUCCUGUCAAAGCGGUGAAGAACGCUGGGAAGAGUUGUUCUCCAGGCUGACAUGAGAGAGGCCCUUCUAGGGCUGCUGCCAUGGUUCAGGAGGAAGCCCCUUCCUGGGAGUCAGGACUUACCAUAGGAAGGUAGGUGGGGCAUUCCUGCAGCUUUGUUCCUGGGCUCCGGGAGGGUGACAGUUCCGAGUACCCUGUCAUAAGGCAAAGGCAUUGAAGGUCACCCCGCCAGAAGAUUCCAGUACUGACACCAGCAGCUGCAGGUACACUGAGUGUGAUCAAACUUAUGUGCUUCUUUUUAUUGGGAAGAAUCCCAAAUGUCAACAAUAGAAUUCCCAGUUUGGAUUGUUAGAAGGAAGACUGAGACUCAAGAGUCUCCACCCCAAAUAUACAUAUCAUAGUUUCCUGCUGUUUCUGUUAUGAUGCCUCUACACACAACAGACUUGAAGGCCAAACAGGAAUGUAGAAAUAAAGGAUCUUUCACAUCAAGAAAUCCAAGAACAGGACAAGUCCAGAUUCAGACCCCAUCCCGUGGAACAGUGCUCUUCACAUUCUGGACAGACCUUCCUUCUUCGGUUCAGCCUUUCUGGAAACUCCCUCAUGGACACAUGCAGAAGUGUGUUUUGAUGGUGAUUCUGAAACCAGUCAAGU